UACGGGGGGGGCAAGCGUUGUUCGGAAUUACUGGGCGUAAAGGGCUCGUAGGCGGCCAACUAAGUCAGACGUGAAAUCCCUCGGCUUAACCGGGGAACUGCGUCUGAUACUGGAUGGCUUGAGGUUGGGAGAGGGAUGCGGAAUUCCAGGUGUAGCGGUGAAAUGCGUAGAUAUCUGGAGGAACACCGGUGGCGAAGGCGGCAUCCUGGACCAAUGCUGACGCUGAGGAGCGCAAGCCAGGGGAACAAACGGG
rnacentral:rRNA from 1 species